rnacentral:lncRNA from 1 species
AGGAUAGUGGAUGGCACUGAAGACAUCGAGGGGACAGAGGGUUCCCUGGCUUUCCCCUUUCUCCAACAGCCGAGGUUGUCCUGUCAAUAAACCAACCAGUGCCUCAGCAUCUGCCACAGAUACGCUGCAGAUCAGCACGGCAGAGUUAGCAGCUAAAGCAGAGGAGACGAGAGGACAACUGUGCCACCUCGACCAGCAGGUAAAUAACCUCGGGAGGGAAGUGGCCGACCUUGGACAACUCAUGAAGAGAAUGGCCCAACUCAUGGAGACCCUCGUGUCCUCAGCGCCACAACCUACACUAGUCUGCCCCACGCACUUCUCCCCGGCUCACAUCACAUACCUGCCCCAUCCUCAGGCUUACCCUUCACCAUCCUCUUCUCAGACUGCCUCCAUCUGGAUGGAUACGCCCAUCUCAUUGCCCUCUUCUCCCUGCACUGUCCCUCAGCAACAUGGUGCGAUGUUCCACGAGUACUCCGUCACACAUAGACCCCAGGACCUCCAGCUGGGGUACCCUGCUAUCCGCUGCUCAACUCCACCUCCAACUUGCAACUCAUCUCCCCUUCAACUACAGCCCGUCAUCUCAGAGCCUCACUCGCCUUCCUCACCUCUCAGCUCACCAGAGAUUUCCCACCAUAAAGACGAGGGUUUCUGUCUGCUUCAGGUCAGAGGUACCGAGUCCACCUGCACAAGACGAGUGAGAUGAAGGCCCUCAUCGGAGCUCUGGGUGUUCUCAAACUGGACUCGGGGGCACCUACCACAACCCAACUAAGGGUUUGUAGCAGCCCUCCAUCUGAACUCUGCAGGACUUUUCCCCAGAUAUUUCUUUGGGAUAUGUUCCUUAACUGAAGAUCGAACUGAUCAACUGGGGUCCCCCAUAUCAUGGGAGGACGUUUGCAGAGAUGCAACCCAGAUUCCUUUUGUUUUAAAGGCACGUGUUUAAAAAUCUUGUUGCAUGAAAACAAGUACAGAAGGUUUAGGUGUGUUAGCUUUACCUUAUAGAAAUGUAGUGUUAGACAGGAUGUAGAGGUCUGGGUCAGUUGUGAAGCUGUAUGAUGGCAGCUCUGGGCACAGCUCACCCCUAAACCACGCCCUCCCCCAUCCCCUCCCCCCCGAUCUUGAGGCGGGAUUGUGCCAUAAUGGAGGACAAGAGGGAAACGGAGGAGAAGAAAGUUAUUUCUGUUCUCCCUUUGUUUUGCUUCUGGCUGGUGAUGGUUUCAGGUCGGCUGGGCUGGUUGGAGGAAGAGAAAGCAUCUUGAGUGGUGGAGGUGGGCUAUGGGGACAAAGAGGGGAGGGGUGGGGGCCGUUCACAUCCUUCCCCCCGACCGCCUAUCUUUGCCAUUUCCUCUCCUUUUAACCCUUCUUUGUUUGCGCUCUCAACCCACGCACGGUGCUCUGGAUUGCAUGAACCAGUGUGUGGCUGGUUACACUGGGAGCACAGUAUGGUGUGAGGAUGUAGAUGGGAUGCAUUGUGCUCUUUACCGCUGGCCCUCAGGGAAGGGGGGAUGGAGGGUGGAGGAAGUUGGUUAUGGAGGGGGUAUGUUAUGCCUUCAAGCAUCACAGCCCCUGCUGUCGUUUGUCUGCUUCUCUUUUCCAGUGCUUUUCUCCGCACACCUUCACUCUCUCUCUCUCUCUCUCUCUCUCUCUCUCUCUCUCUCUCUCUCUCUCUCUCUCUAUCUAUCUCCCUCUCUCCCCCCCUUCCUUCUCAAUCUAUCUCUUGCUCUCUGCAUGCCGUUCCAAGCCUUUUGAGUAGUGCCUGUAGACACACGUUAACAUGCUGCAUGUCACCCUGUGGAAAUCCAGCUUGCCAUUUAUCUAUCUAUUUAAAGGAAACGCGGUUCAAUCGUUUAGCUGAACCGAGCAUUUACUGAUGCAUAUUUAUUGGAUGUCGGCUCAGUUUAAACAACUGGGUGAUUUAGGCGCAAGGUAGUCGCCCCUGUUGUGAAGUGGCCUGGAGAAAAUUGCCAACUGCUAAAUUGGUUCAUGAUCCACGAUAGGGGCCGUUUCCCUGAUCGUCACCCAGGGUUACCAACUCUGAGAUCCAUUUUCUCAGCUGUUUAGAGCAAAGGCAAUAUUCCCGCAUAAAAGCACAAUAAGGAAAUAAAGACGCUUUUAUAUUUCUAUGAAUGUAUCAAUACUAAAGAUGUAUUUUUUUACCUCUAAGAAUGCAAGAGUGUAGGUUGGCAUUUAACGAUGCUACUGUAUAUGAGGUUAUGACCGUGGUGUCUGCUGGUACCAGUCAAUGCAAUCUUAAACCAGGAAACAAGGUCAGAACUCGCGUCCCUACAGAUCUACUGUUCUCUUUUGAAUUCAUGUAGGUUGGACUCGGCCUCUGUGCAAAUGGAAUGUACUGUAAUUACACAUCUUUUUCCCGUAACAUUUUGAUAUUAUUAGAUACAAAUAAACAUGUUAUGCUAAUAAAUGACAAAAUACGACUGUUUUUUUAAUUUU